rnacentral:rRNA from 1 species
UACAGAGGGUGCAAGCGUUGUUCGGAAUUAUUGGGCGUAAAGCGCGUGUAGGCGGCAGUGCAAGUCGGGUGUGAAAGCCCUCGGCUCAACCGAGGAAGUGCGCUCGAAACUGCAUUGCUUGAGUACCGGAGAGGAUGGCGGAAUUCCCGAAGUAGAGGUGAAAUUCGUAGAUAUCGGGAGGAACACCGGUGGCGAAGGCGGCCAUCUGGACGGAUACUGACGCUGAGACGCGAAAGCGUGGGUAGCAAACAGG